rnacentral:tRNA from 1 species
GUCCCUGUAGCGCAAUGGAUAGCGCGUUGGACUUUAAUCCAAAAGUCGUGGAUUCGAGUUCUACCUGGGAUG